rnacentral:rRNA from 1 species
AGCGAACGCUGGCGGCAGGCCUAACACAUGCAAGUCGAACGAACCUUUCGGGGUUAGUGGCGGACGGGUGAGUAACACGUGGGAACGUGCCUUUAGGUUCGGAAUAACUCAGGGAAACUUGUGCUAAUACCGAAUGUGCCCUUCGGGGGAAAGAUUAAUCGCCUUUAGAGCGGCCCGCGUCUGAUUAGCUAGUUGGUUGAGGUAAUGGCUCACCCAGGCGACGAUCAGUAGCUGGUCUGAGAGGAUGAUCAGCCACAUUGGGACUGAGACACGGCCCAAACUCCUACGGGAGGCAGGAGUGGGGAAUCGUGCGAAAUGGGCGAAAGCCUGACGCAGCCAGGCCGGGUGAAUGAUGAAGGUCUUAGGAUUGUAAAAUUCUUUCACCGGGGACGAUAAUGACGGUACCCGGAGAAGAAGCCCCGGCUAACUUCGUG